rnacentral:rRNA from 1 species
AUGCAAGUCGAACGAUUAUUCGAAGGUAGCAAUACUUUCGAGUUGUAGUGGCGAAAGGGUGCGUAACACGUGGGCAAUCUGCCGUCAAGUUGGGAAUAACUCGUCGAAAGGCGAACUAAUACCGAAUGUGGCUGUAAACAGGCAUCUGUUAGCAGCUAAAGCUGGGGACCGCAAGGCCUGGCGCUUGACGAGGAGCCCGCGGCCUAUCAGCUAGUUGGUGAGGUAACGGCUCACCAAGGCUAAGACGGGUAGCUGGUCUGAGAGGACGAUCAGCCACACUGGAACUGAGACACGGUCCAGACACCUACGGGUGGCAGCAGUCGAGAAUCUUUCUCAAUGGGCGAAAGCCUGAAGGAGCGACGCCGCGUGGGGGAUGAAGGGCCUAGGCCUGUAAACCCCUGUCAUUCGCGAACAAGGCCGGCUAUUUAAAAGAUGGACGGAUUGAUGGUAGCGAAAGAGGAAGGGACGGCUAACUCUGUGCCAGCAGCCGCGGUAAUACAGAGGUCCCAAGCGUUGUUCGGAUUUACUGGGCGUAAAGGGUGCGUAGGUGGUGGGGUAAGUUCGAUGUGAAAGCUCCGAGCUCAACUCGGAAAUGGCAUUGAAUACUACCCUGCUAGAGGAUUGGAGGGGGGACUGGAAUUCUCGGUGUAGCAGUGAAAUGCGUAGAUAUCGAGAGGAACACCAGUGGCGAAGGCGAGUCCCUGGACAAUUCCUGACACUGAGGCACGAAAGCUAGGGGAGCAAACAGGAUUAGAUACCCUGGUAGUCCUAGCCGUAAACGGUGCACAUUUGCUGUGAGGGGAUUCGACCCCUUUCGUG